UACAGAGGUCUCAAGCGUUGUUCGGAUUUAUUGGGCGUAAAGGGUGUGUAGGUGGCGCGCUAAGUCGGGUGUGAAAUUUCGGAGCUUAACUCCGAAACUGCAUUCGAUACUGGCGUGCUUGAGGACUGGAGAGGAGACUGGAAUUCAUGGUGUAGCGGUGAAAUGCGUAGAGAUCAUGAGGAAGACCAGUGGCGAAGGCGGGUCUCUGGACAGUACCUGACGCUGAGGCACGAAAGUCAGGGGAGCAAACGGG
rnacentral:rRNA from 1 species